AGUUUACGUGGGCCCUCAUCCGAAAAGAUCCCGAAUCCGCCCCAGGGUUUAUUAAUAGAAUCCCAAUUUCUCAACUGAUUUAUUUUUAGAACGAACACUCUGAUAUCUAUUCCUCUGGUCUGUCUAGCUUUAAUUGGUAUAAAAAAGUACCCGUUUAUAUUAAAUACUUCCUUACGGAAAUAAAACAUAGGAAUACCCAAGAAACAAGGAAAUAUUUCCUGUAAAUUCACGAAGAAAGACACCCACACAAUCAUUUUGUUACUGCCUUUGGCAAAAUUAAGAUAUAUUCUCAUAAUGGAUUACUUUUUGGAAGCUGGAAGCCAAAUUGGCAAUAGAGACCUGAUAUUUGGACAAGACGUCUUCGAUUCUUAUAAAACAGCGUAAAAGUAGAGGUCAUAUCUUUACGGUUUGAUGAUUUGAAAAGCAAGUGUUUCAUGCAACUGAAAUAGGUAUAUUAAA